rnacentral:rRNA from 1 species
GACGAACGCUGGCGGCGUGCCUAAUACAUGCAAGUCGAACGCAGUGGGUACGGGUGAGUAACACGUGGGUAACCUCCCAUCAGAGGGGAUAACACUUGGAAACAGGUGCUAAACCGAUACUUGUGGAUGGACCCGCGGUGCAUUAGCUAUUUGGUGAGGUAACGGCUCACAAAGGCCACGAUUCAUAGCCGACCGUAUGGGGUGAUCUGCCACACGGGGACGGCGAGACGCCCCAGACUCCUACGGGAGGCAGCAGUAGCGAAACUUCGGCAAUGGACGAAAGUCUGACCGAGAACCGCCGCGUGAGUGAAGAAGUUGUUCGGAGCGUAAAACUCUGUUGUUAGAGAAGCGGUAGCUAACCAGAAAGCCACGGCUAACUACGUGCCAGCCGCCGCGGUAAUAC